AAAGAGAGUGAAUGCCACGAGGCGCUACAAAAGCUGUCUGAAGACUGAUUUCCCUAAGAACAAUGAACAUUCAUUUUGAUGCAUAUUUAGGUCAAGUACUGUUUUGAGUCUCAUUUUCUUAAUAUGCCAGCUUGGUAUUAGUGAUUGCUUCUAUUUAAUUUGUAAUGUGCUCAUAUUCUUGUACUAUUUACUGGAUCAUUAUUAUUUAGUUACAAGAACUUUGGCUCUGUGCAUGCUAGAUGCAGAGGCCGGGGAUGUAAUUC
rnacentral:sRNA from 1 species